rnacentral:rRNA from 1 species
UACGGAGGGGGCUAGCGUUGUUCGGAAUUACUGGGCGUAAAGCGCACGUAGGCGGCGAUUUAAGUCAGAGGUGAAAGCCCGGAGCUCAACUCCGGAACUGCCUUUGAGACUGGAUUGCUAGAAUCUUGGAGAGGCGGGUGGAAUUCCGAGUGUAGAGGUGAAAUUCGUAGAUAUUCGGAAGAACACCAGUGGCGAAGGCGGCCCGCUGGACAAGUAUUGACGCUGAGGUGCGAAAGCGUGGGGAGCAAACAGG